rnacentral:rRNA from 1 species
UACGUAGGGUGCAAGCGUUAAUCGGAAUUACUGGGCGUAAAGCGUGCGCAGGCGGUUGUGUAAGACAGAUGUGAAAUCCCCGGGCUCAACCCUGGGAACUGCAUUUGUGACUGCACGGCUCGAGUGCGGCAGAGGGGGAUGGAAUUCCGCGUGUAGCGGUGAAAUGCGUAGAUAUGCGGAGGAACACCGAUGGCGAAGGCAAUCCCCUGGGCCUGCACUGACGCUCAUGCACGAAAGCGUGGGGAGCAAACAGG